CCAGACUCCUACGGGAGGCAGCAGUGGGGAAUAUUGGGCAAUGGGCGCAAGCCUGACCCAGCAACGCCGCGUGAAGGAAGAAGGCUUUCAGGUUGUAAACUUCUUUUACCAGGGACGAAGAAAGUGACGGUACCUGGAGAAUAAGCCACGGCUAACUACGUGCCAGCAGCCGCGGUAAUACGUAGGUGGCGAGCGUUGUCCGGAUUUACUGGGUGUAAAGGGCGCGUAGGCGGGAAUGCAAGUCAGAUGUGAAAUCCAUGGGCUUAACCCAUGAACUGCAUUUGAAACUGUAUUUCUUGAGUGUCGGAGAGGUAGACGGAAUUCCUAGUGUAGCGGUGAAAUGCGUAGAUAUUAGGAGGAACACCAGUGGCGAAGGCGGCUUACUGGACUGUAACUGACGUUGAGGCUCGAAAGCGUGGGGAGCAAACAGGAUUAGAUACCCUGGUAUA
rnacentral:rRNA from 1 species